UACGGACUUGAAAAUCCGUUGGCUUUAUUGACCAUGAGGGUUCAAGUCCCUCUACCCCCA
rnacentral:tRNA from 1 species